ACCAACUCACCAGAGAUAUGAGUAGCCAUAACUCUCUCCAGUCCACCAAACAACUUUCCUCCCACAAAAACCACCGGAAACUGCACUUCGCCGCCGAUUUUACCACCGUUAAUAUUCGAUAACUCAUUCAUCACCGCCGCUUCUUCCUUCUCAUCCACCUCGAACACGGUGGGAUUCACACCAAGCCCUAGCAGCAGCUUCUUCACCACAUGGCACAUGCAACAACCACGUUUUCCAAACACUAUAACUGAGUUCUCUAACACCAAUUUUUGGACAUAGUUUUCUCCAUUGGCU
rnacentral:misc_RNA from 1 species